rnacentral:rRNA from 1 species
GACAGAGGGUGCAAACGUUGUUCGGAAUUACUGGGCGUAAAGCGCGUGUAGGCGGUCUCGCAAGUCGGGUGUGAAAGCCCAGGGCUCAACCCUGGAAGUGCAUUUGAUACUGCGAGGCUAGAGUCCCGGAGAGGAUGGUGGAACUCUCGGUGUAGAGGUGAAAUUCGUAGAUAUCGAGAAGAACACCGGUGGCGAAGGCGGCCAUCUGGACGGUGACUGACGCUGAGACGCGAAAGCGUGGGGAGCAAACAGG